rnacentral:rRNA from 1 species
GAACUGAGAACCGAAGGUCGARGAGAAUUCAUUCGCGAUCUGUUGCCGGCGAAUAGGUGUGCGUCUGACGAACAAUUGAUAAACUUGUACUAUCCGCAGGGGUGGCUGCAUAUUUGUUAAGUUGAACGCUUUGUACGUCUAUNGAUCCAGGCGACGAACGUGUGCAAUUUUCUUCUGGUAGGACGUCGUGAUCCGUUGGGAUGUCGGUCUACGGCGAUAAAGUAAAUAGGUCCGUCGGUACGGUAGACUAGUUUUAUUGUUUUUACCGACGGAUUUACUCGAUCUGAUCGAAUUACCCGACGGUAUGCAAACGGUUAAAGGUCGCUAACAUUUAGAGAUUUGCGUUAGAGAUGUCGGCAAGUGCCAUUAUAUUUGAUUAUGUUAAUCGAGGUUUAUCUUUGAUUACGAAUCACUAAUAGGUGCUGUUGGCCGCAUUCUUUUAUUUUCUAACAGACCUGCUGAUUUAAUCGGUACCGAUCUACGACGCUACAGCUUUGGGUAAUUUCAGGACCCGUCUUGAAACACGGACCAAGGAGUCUAGCAUGUGCGCAAGUCAUUGGGUUAACGUAUGUGAAACCUAAGGGCGUAAUGAAAGUGAAUAGAGAAGAAGGAAAAACGGAAAGGUUUCGUGCCGAUUCGUUAUCUUUUUUUGAUGGAAAGAUGAAUGGCGUUUGGUGUGUGUGUGUGUGUGUUUGUGGGUGUGUGUGUGUGUUUCUUCUUCUGGAGAAUAUGCGCACGCGCGCGCUCGCCCACAUGUG